CGAGACCUUCGGGUCUAGUGGCGCACGGGUGCGUAACGCGUGGGAACCUGCCUUUAGGUUCGGAAUAACUCUCCGAAAGGGGUGCUAAUACCGAAUAAUGUCUUCGGACCAAAGAUUUAUCGCCUUUAGAUGGGCCCGCGUUGGAUUAGCUAGUUGGUGGGGUAAAGGCCUACCAAGGCGACGAUCCAUAGCUGGUCUGAGAGGAUGAUCAGCCACACUGGGACUGAGACACGGCCCAG
rnacentral:rRNA from 1 species